AUUGAACGCUGGCGGCAUGCCUUACACAUGCAAGUCGAACGGCAGCACGGGAGCAAUCCUGGUGGCGAGUGGCGAACGGGUGAGUAAUAUAUCGGAACGUGCCCAGUCGUGGGGGAUCACGCAGCGAAAGCUGUGCUAAUACCGCCUACGAUCUAUGGAUGAAAGCGGGGGAACGCAAGACCUCGCGCGAUUGGAGCGGCCGAUAUCAGAUUAGCUAGGUGGUGGGGUAAAGGCCCACCAAGGGGACGAUCUGUAGCUGGUCUGAGAGGACGACCAGCCACACUGGAACUGAGACACGGUCCAGACUCCUACGGGGGGCAGCAGUGGGGAAUUUUGGACAAUGGGCGCAAGCCUGAUCCAGCAAUGCCGCGUGCAGGAUGAAGGCCUUCGGGUUGUAAACUGCUUUUGUACGGAACGAAACGGUCCUUUCUAAUACAGGGGGCUAAUGACGGUACCGUAAGAAUAAGCACCGGCUAACUACGUGCCAGCCGCCGCGGUAAAAC
rnacentral:rRNA from 1 species